UUAGAGGGUAUUGUACUCUUUCAUUCUCAAAUGAUAUACGACGUGGAUAUCUCUUCUUCCACCUUUUCCUUUAUUUAGUAAAAAUUUGCCAUCGUGUUGGGAUUUUAACUUCUUGGAUGUGCAGACUUCAUUUCAUUGCAUGAUCGCUUGUACUUGCAACCAGGGCACCUCCUCGGGGUGACGGUGGGCAACAGAACCAUCUGGCAGAGUCCCUGGGUUAACGGCGUGUAAACAGUUAUAGUUGAU